rnacentral:miRNA from 1 species
UGAGGCAGUCGAUUGAAU